GGUGUGAUAUUCUCUGACAGUGCAGCUUGUGAUGUAGAAGUAUUUCAUUUUAUCUAGCCUGUUUCUAGUCUGAGUUAUGACAGAGACAUGAACCUGAAUUUGCGCACUUCUAAAGAGACGUUAAAGACUUUGAGGUGGCUCUUUUUCAGGACAGUUCAAUCUGAGCACUCUUCAGUAUUAAAAGCUCUUCUGAACAGAUCUCCUCUUUACAUAGUCGUAACGUCUUUUUCCUCACAGGCUGUACGAGUCUCCAAGGAAGCAUUCGUUUGUAGAGAAAAAGGAAUCUGCUUUUAAAUGGUGUCGACAUGUCCUUGAUAAUCCCAGCCCUGAGAUGGAAGCUGCAUGCCGUGUACUGAUAAAAAUGCUGGAUCAAGGCAAGCGAGCGCCACAUACUCACCCACUCAUUAUCUUACAAAUAUCCUUGAUAUAAAAGAGGAUUCCUUUAAUGGCAUUCAGCUUUUUCUCUCCCACUUUUUGUAUUGUCAGGAUCAAGACAUGAGCUCCACAAACGUCCUGCAGUUCCCUAUCAUGCUGCCAGUGUCCCUGUGGGCUCCUCUGUGAAUAAAACCUCUGCCAGCGCAGCAGCCAAUACACCUGCCAGUUCAGGUCACAGUGAGCCAAGCAUCUCCCUCGAUGUUGUAACAAAGAGCUACAGGCUACAAGAUGUCCACAUUAUGGCUCAACUGCAGGAAGCCAGUUUGAGGCAGGACUUUGUCUCCAUGCCUUCCACUGCUUCACAGAGGAGAAACCCUGAGCCUCCAGUGAAGCUUCCACCCUCUUUUAACACCACAGAUGAAAACACUGCUUACUCAACUCUAGGAAAUAAAUCCGAAACUUCGUCUUCCAUAUCAGCAGUUAAGGAGUGCUGCCAGAGUCCCAGACCAUCCAUACUUCAUCAACAAGUCACCCAAUUCAAGCUGCUUAAACGCGCCCAGAACCAAGCAGGAUCACCAGGCAGGACGAGGUCGCCCCUGCGUACCAGCCUCCGCUCCCUCCAGGCUGUUAGGAACAGCCGAAGUUUAGACAUCGAUGACUGCCAACCUGCUGACCAAACAGCUUACCUUCCAUCAGAUCUGUCAUCUGCCAGGGGAGAGGGCUUAAGUUGCUGGUUGCCAUCAUUUUCCCCAGCUUCACUGAACUCUGGCAGCUUGUUGCAGUCGAUGAAAAGCUCAUCAGUCCGGACAGCGGCCGUGAAGAAGAUGAACAGGUCUCACUCUCUCAGCCCCUGCCGGAUCCCUCAGUCUGCUAAAGGAUGCUUGUCUGUCCACAGACGCGUUUUUACCUCACCUGAGAGGUUAACCACUGUAGCUUGGGGCAGAAAUUUGCCUGUUCAGAGAUAAAAGAUUUACCCGAUGCAAUGUAAUUAUUUACUUCUGUGGUUGAUAAGCCUCUGCAAUCUCAUGAAUACAUUUAGAUUGUGAAGGAAUUUGAGCCUAUAUUAGAAUCCUUUGUGGUAUGCUGCUCAGGGCAAAAAUAUGCUGUUUCAGUUACAUGUGCAAGGAUCUGGUUCAUCUUUCUCAGUAAGAGAUUCUUGGUAAGAAGCAGGCCGUCACAACCACAGUGCUCUAAAUCAUGUGGAUUAUUGUAGAAAUUAAGUGUUAAAGUCACAGGAAUGUAGAAAAGUAAGGCGCACUGAAUGCUGAUAAAUUCACCCAUAUGAGACAUCUUAGAAAUACUGAAAGUAGAGCCAGUAGGAUGUAUUAUCAGUGGCUUUGCAAGCAUGCUACAGCUCAUGUGCACAAACUACCUUCCAUACGUAGAUUACAAAUAUGAAUAUGGACAUCAGUGUGGUCGAUGAGCUGAAUGAGCAGCUCUCUGCAGAGCUGUUGCAACAGGAAGUGUGCUGUUUGUCAUCGUCAAGUACGAAACACUAAAUGUAUCCUUUACGUAGUAGUUGGAGUUGUUAAACAGUCUGAUAUCACAACAAAGCGAAAGACACUGCAUUUCCAGGAAACAGAGAUGUGGGUUGGUGCAGCUUCUUCCUAGAAGCUUUUCAUUGUUGUUCUCUACUUCAGAGGCCACCUUUGUUUGCUAAUGUUUUUGUAUCGCUGAGCAUGAUUUAUUUUAACCCAAUCAACAUAUUUCUCCUAGAUUUUUCAGAGUAACCUGAAUCCUUACCCAAACACCAGCCUGUGCACUUUGCAUGUACUUAUCUUUGAGUUAUUACUUAUUUGUAGGGGAAGGUGUAUUUCUCCAUUUUAUGUUCCUACAUGUCACCUCAGGCCCAGUGGUCUUUACAUUGACCUUUUUUUUUUUUUUAUUAAUAAUGUCUCAUUUUCAAUUAAAAUAGGAGACAAAAGCCACUGUGCAGCUGCUCAUCAUGGUAAUAUAGUAAAUGACAGUGGGUUAUAGUGACUGAGAUAAUGCACAGUGAAACCUGACAUUCAGUGUGUGCAGGAG